GGAGUUCCUGACUUUAUUGAAGAUGGAACCUUGUUUUUUCACCAGUUUUUCUGUAUACUGUUUUCUCCAUAGCUGAUGGGAGGUACAACAGUCAUGAGAGAGGCAGUGUAAACCACCUGGCCCUCUGCAUCACAGUGUGCAGGCCUGAACGUCAGAAGAGUCUCGUCUCGUAAAGCAUGAGGUGCAAAUCAAUGUGCGAAGCAGGAUAUCCACACCAGAAUGGACUUAAGCAAGGUG